GAUUCAGCAGUCUAGUAAUGGAAUUAGUGAUGUGACAAUCCCAAAGUUGAAAGCUCACAGGGGCCGAGCAAAGAAAGAGAUACUUGAUGAUGAGGAGGCGUUUUCCUCGGACUCUGAGGAUGAAUAUUUGACACCAAAAAGAUCUAAAAAGAAAGAUCGGAGAAAGCAUCAGAGGAUGUGGACUCUCUCUGAGG